AUACGUAGGGGGCGAGCGUUGUCCGGAAUGAUUGGGCGAAAAGGGCGCGUAGGCGGCCCGGUAAGUCUGGAGUGAAAGUCCUGUUUUUAAGAUGGGAAUUGCUUUGGAUACUGUCGGGCUUGAGUGCAGGAGAGGUAAGUGGAAUUCCCAGUGUAGCGGUGAAAUGCGUAGAGAUUGGGAGGAACACCAGUGGCGAAGGCGACUUACUGGACUGUAACUGACGCUGAGGCGCGAAAGUGUGGGGAGCAAACAGGAUUAGAUACCCUGGUAGUCCACACUGUAAACGAUGAAUGCUAGGUGUAGGGGGUAUCGACCCCUUCUGUGCCGCAGUCAACACAAUAAGCAUUCCGCCUGGGGAGUACGGCCGCAAGGUUGAAACUCAAAUGAAUUGACGGGG
rnacentral:rRNA from 1 species